rnacentral:lncRNA from 1 species
CGGGGAAGGGAGAAAUGAUCAACACUCCUCCCAUAUGCUUCAACUUUCACAUCUGUUUUGCCAUUAUCCAUCCUGCUAAGAUAUAAUUAAUGAGAGCCUUCCCGAAUUUCAUACAUUCUGAAAACCAGCCAAUCCCUUCUCUUUGGAGAAUACAUUGAAAAUAACAAUAAAAGUGAGGUGGUGUGGGCUUUUGAAGUCUUUAGAAAACCCAUCGCUGUGAUCUUUGUUCCACCACUGGGGAACUAGGACAUCACCGCACGUGUCUGGCAUUGUUCGUGACAACACGGCAACAGAAAUAAAGCAAGAGUUUCUGGGAGUAGCAUUAGGAUGCAGCACUCCUGCUGUGCACACCAGUUCCCAGCUCUGCACAGCUGCCUUCUCAGCUGGGGGUUUGAAAUCAGCACUGUGAGAAAAGACAGAAAUGACCGGGAUGCAUGGCCCUCACUAUGAGGAAAAGGCAUCUAGUGUUUGCUGAAUGAACAUUUUACACAAGUCACCGUGGUAAACCAAGAUAUAGCAAAUAAAACAGCAGCCUGUCCUUUCAUUUAAUUUAUGAAGUAUGGGAUAACGUGGGAGGAAGAGGGGCAAAGAUGUCCUGGAAUUUGAAGCUGCUGCCCUGAUCCUAUGACAAUCAUACACUCCUCCCUGCUUUGAUGUUGUGUACUUGCCUGAAGGAAAUGAAGAAAUGUUAAUCAUGGCAAGUGUGUUGGAGUGCCUGGAAGUGAUUUCAAGCAUAACUUGCAAUGGCCCCGAGGAGCUGACUGCAUUUUACAAAGGAGAGGUUCUUUUUUUCUUUGAAUCAACAGAGCAUCUCUAUGGCAGUGGAGUAGAAAACAAGCAGAGAAGUAUUUCCCCUACAUGCUGGAGGUGGUUAUCAUGGUUGUCAAGGAAACAUCCACACUCCACAAGGUCACCUCUGGAAACAACUGCACGAUGUGAAGAAGAGAUCAAUACAUGA